GACGUAGGGUGCGAGCGUUGUCCGGAUUUAUUGGGCGUAAAGAGCUCGUAGGCGGCUUGUUGCGUCAGCUGUGAAAACCCGCGGCUUAACCGUGGGCCUGCAGCUGAUACGGGCAAGCUAGAGUUCGGUAGGGGAGACUGGAAUUCCUGGUGUAGCGGUGGAAUGCGCAGAUAUCAGGAGGAACACCGGUGGCGAAGGCGGGUCUCUGGGCAGUAACUGACGCUGAGAAGCGAAAGCGUGGGGAGCGAACAGG
rnacentral:rRNA from 1 species